rnacentral:rRNA from 1 species
GUGGGGAAUAUUGGACAAUGGGCGAAAGCCUGAUCCAGCCAUGCCGCGUGUGUGAAGAAGGUCUUCGGAUUGUAAAGCACUUUAAGUUGGGAGGAAGGGCAGUAAGUUAAUACCUUGCUGUUUUGACGUUACCGACAGAAUAAGCACCGGCUAACUUCGUGCCAGCAGCCGCGGUAAUACGAAGGGUGCAAGCGUUAAUCGGAAUUACUGGGCGUAAAGCGCGCGUAGGUGGCUUUGUAAGUUGGAGGUGAAAUCCCCGGGCUCAACCUGGGAACUGCCUCCAAAACUGCAUGACUAGAGUACGGUAGAGGGUAGUGGAAUUUCCUGUGUAGCGGUGAAAUGCGUAGAUAUAGGAAGGAACACCAGUGGCGAAGGCGACUACCUGGACUGAUACUGACACUGAGGUGCGAAAGCGUGGGGAGCAAACAGGAUUAGAAACCCUAGUAGUCC